UUGGACCUGAUAUCAGGCAAGAUUACCCGCUGAACUUAAGCAUAUUAAUAAGCGGAGAAAAGA
rnacentral:rRNA from 1 species